GGGGAAACGUGACAAAGGGGGAAGGCCUUCAGGUAUUGUUUUGGCAAGCUAGGAGAACACAUCUGACAGACAAAAAGGUUUCAUCAAAGACACACAGGCAGCUCCUGAAGUAAAGGACCUACACAGGACCUUCAUAUCAAGGACAUUGACUGUGUGGAUCUCGAGGUGCAGUUACCCAAAAGUUGCUACCCACGGAAUACCAGGUUUUGAGGGAUCCUGCCAGAGCAGAGAAUCAACAGAUACAUUGAAGAGGAGACUCCGACAUGACCGCCGGCAUCUUGUGUUAUUCACCCCCACCACUUGUAAUACUGAAUGCCUGAAUUGUUGUUUGCUGCUCAGACUUUGUCAACAGAUAUGGUCUUCGACAUAUUACCCUUAGGUGUGGAAACAGAUUGUGACAGUCCAGCAAAAUGAGCCAGACAGAUAGUAACACUGAAAAAGGACGACGUUGUUCCCAUGGCCUCACACUGCAGAAGACUACAGACGUUCAGUGAAGCACAAACAGCUGUUCCUCUUGUACUUAAUAAUUUAGUCAGCUGGAUUCUAGGUGCCACUAAGGAGCCAACAGUGGAUAAUUUUGUCAACAUUUCAAUGGCAUACAUUAAAAGGGCAGCCUGUAAUUGUUUGCCUUGCCUCCAUCUUCCUUGCCACCAAGGGGUUGUAGACCGAUGCCCUAGUCCUCCUGUUUAGGUAC